AUCAGUUGCACCCAGCCUAACAGCGAUCUGAGCAGCUGUGUGUAUGCACGUGCAGUAGCUGGAGUGCACGCGUGAGCACGUGUUCGAACCUGCACGCAAACUGGGAACGGCGUGGGCUGUGCGAAGCCUGCGCUCUUGUUUCCAUCUCUGACUUGCAAAUGAAGCCUGUUUUCAAAACUCAGUCAGCCUGUGGGAGUGAGAGCCAGAAGAUCCGAGGGAGUUUUUCCCACAAUGCCUGCUGGGCCCCCGGAAGAAACAAACCUGGUGGUGCAUACGGCGCGCGCGCGCGCGCGCGCGGGGAAGCCCAUCUCCAGCUCGAGUAGAUUAGGCUGGAUGGCACGCGUCAGGGAGUGUGGCAACCCCGCGAGAAACUGGCAUCAAACUGCUGCUGCUGCUGCUCCAAGCUGGCAGUGAGGCUCAGCUGGGCACAGGGGACCGGGAGGCAGAAGCAAGAAGCCCAACUUGAAGAGCCAUUGCUUUGUUUGUAUUUCCAGUCACAUUUCUGUCUCAACUUACAUCAUCGUCGUCGUCGUCGUCGUCAUCAUCAUCAUCAUCACUACUGUAAUUAGUCGGGCCCUAUCCAAUCAAAAGCUGCAGCAUCACCUCUGUUAGUGGUAUAGGUUAUGGGCACAAACCGAGAGUUUGGUUCUCUGGAUGUCAAAGAAGGGAAGGCUCUGGAAGUUUCUGCCAAAGGCAGUGUCAGGGCAAGUAGACAUCAGUAGCAGAGAGGUGAAUCCUGUAAGCGUUUGUCUCUUCCCUGGAACCCUCAGUGCUGCAGGACCCAGAGCAUGAUCUGCCCGCUCUGAGCCUAGUGUGGGGGGUCCCCAUUCUGCGACAAUUAAAUUCCCUACCUGAA
rnacentral:lncRNA from 1 species